UCGGUGUCUGAAUACACAUUGUACCAUGAGGAUCCUCUUACCCUGAGCCAAAGUCUGUCAAAGUCAAUUCCAACAGCUGAUGAGGCCCUUCAGAUCAGGAACAAUGUUCAGUGUACCUACACCUCCUAUUUCCAUUCAGCAGAGACUCAAUUUGCAAUUCAUCAGAAAAAGUUCAUGGAGUUUUGGACCAAUAUCACUGUAAAACUUCCAGGGUCUAACAAUGAUGAAACUCUCAGACCUCCAUCCUAUUGUUUUACUGUUCCUAAAUGAACAGUCCCAUUUACUACAAGUCUGUGAAAGAGUGUCAGGCUGCUUAAUGCCUGGGAACAAAAAAGAUGAAGUAGGGGGCAAUUAACAAAAUCAAAGAAUGUCAUAUUGCCUUGGUUUUUACUUUAUCUCACUGCUACCAGCUCUUUGUAAACCUUGAUUAGGCAGACAGCAUGUUCCUACAUGAGAAAGCAGGUUUUUUUUUUAAUUAAACACAUUCCUUUUUCAUAGUCUGCUGCAAAUUACAGCAUUGUUCAUUCUCUUUUAUGCUGAACUUAUCUCUUUUUUCAAUCAAGAGCUUUUCUUCUCAAAUUCAUAAUGUUCUCUGUAGUAUUUACCUUGUGCUGGUUGACAAGAUCAGUGUCAUAUUAAGGUUCCUUAGAUGUCCAUACGAACUCCAGUUUUGGUUAGAUUUCACAUCAGUACCCUGGCCAUUUUGCUCUUCAGUUACUCCAACAAGGAGUAUGGCCAACGGGGUACUGUGGGAAAUAUACACUAAUUAUUACCCACAGUGGUUUUUCAUACUCGAUUCAGUUUGAGUGUUUGCUUUACGAACUGGAGAAGUUUUGACAAAGCAAACAGAUCACUUGGUAUAUUUCCUGUCUUUGUUACUUUGCGGAAUCAAAUUUCUAUUGUCCAGGCUCAUUUCAAUGCAUGUGCCAUUUUAAAACUGAUGUUCAUCACACUGAUACUCAGCAGAAACUUGUGAAGCGUGUCUAUGAGGAAAAUGCUCUAGCCACCAAAUAAAUUCACUAUCAAGUGUGCAGGCUAAUGUCAGAGGAGGGAUGCCCUAAGAUUUGUGCCCUCAGUGGAGACUCUCAAACCUUGGAAGAAGUGUCAGGGCUUCCAUAGAGGUCCCCUAUUGGAUUGGGGGAUGUUGGAAGUUGUUCCUAAAGAACAUGUGUGAAAUGUGAGCAGUUUUUAAUCAGGGCAAUCUUGUAAUAUAAACAAGGGUGAAAAUAAAGUUGAGUAAUAUUUAUUACUCUGCCCUUCUAUACAGUAUGCCCCGCAGUCUCUGCUAUCUGUACUCUGGUUGUUGAGUGGGGACAACUUUAUUAAACAUAAGGCUUAGUGAUGAGGUAGACUAUUCCCUCAAGCUGUUGAGCAGCUUCUGGAAAGCUAAGGUAUCCUUCUGCUGGAUCUGAGAGUAUGCAAUCAUUAGGCUGCUGCUUUCAGAAGGAGCAGGUCUGCUAAACUGAAGAAUUAGAUUAAAAACUUUGUCUGCUAAAGAGUUGACAUGCACCUGGCCUGUACACAGAACACUAGGCUAAUCCUGAAAGCAAACUAUUUGGAGGAAUAGCCUUCAAAAUUUAUCUCCCAAAUCUCCCAAACUAUUACAGAUGUGUUUGUAAUAGCAUGCAGCACUUAAAUAGGAGGAGAGUUCAUCUUCAAGAUAAUCAUCUAGUGAAUUUAAUCAAUUAAGUAGCAUCAAAACAUGACAAAUUACAAACUUCUUAGUAUAGACUAUUACAAUUUAAUUUAAGCCAGCUGUUCAAUUAAACUAUUAAUAGAAUCCUCAGGUUUUUUUCACUCUCCUAAAAUUGGAAAGAAAUACCCUGAAACACACCUCUCAAUCCCACAAAGUUAUUAAGUAAUGAAGAUUUAACAAACAAGCAGAAACACAGACAGAAUACUUUGUAAAUCUCAGCCUAUUAGCUACUGCUUGAGGAUUAGUGUACAAAGCUAUGCCUCUUUCUGAAUCAUUUUCUUUAAAUCAUAUCAGCUGUUUCUAGGUAACAUUUUAAUAUAAGGGCAGUAUUUCUGGUUUUCCUCUCUGCAUUUCAUAAUGAAGUAAAAAAAAAAAAAAAAAAGCCUAAAGACCACUUUAAACUGUGCAAGGAAUUUUGAGAUAAGCAUUUUGCAAGCUUUCUAACAGCCAGCAUCACUUGAACUGCUAGGACACGUGUUCUCUCAGAACAGAGACUCAGACAGAACUGAGGCAAACGCAUCACCAAGUUGUUCAUUUAAUGUAAGUGUACUUCUGGUCUUAAAAGUAAAUCUGAUCUGAAAGCAGUGUUCAUGAAUCAGAGUCUCCAGAUAUCUGUGCCAACAGUGAGGCAAAGCCAGGCAAAAAUAUAUUUGCAAAUUCUGUCUUUACCCAUAAUUCAUCUAAUUUAAUGAAUACUUACUAGAUCUUUAUUGGAUUUAGAAAGUCAUCCUAAAAAUGCUUAUGGAACUAAUUUUACAAAGCAAAUAGAGCCAAAUAUUUUUUAUUUUUUUUUUAGGUUUGUGUUGUAACAGUGCUCAAAAUAAUGCUUCCAAAUCAUCAAGGAAAUAAAGAGCUAGUCAU
rnacentral:lncRNA from 7 species